rnacentral:lncRNA from 1 species
AAAUGGAGAGAUAGGAAUCUGAGUCCAUAAUCCUUGCCUCUUUAUCUCCAUCUCACCCUGUCUCCCAGAGCUUGACAGCCUUCCAGCAGUGGAUUAACAGUGAGCAGGACCAGAUUCCAGAAAAAGAAAUGGCUUGAAUCUCACAGUCAUUCAUGCCCUGGGCAUGCAUGCUUCUCUUCUCCAACCAAUUAGUUCUCUGGUCCAAGCUGACCCAGAUGGGAAGUCAUUGUUUAUGGAUCUACCUGAACUUCUCAGCACUUGCCAGCUCUGCAAGUUGGUAUGUAGAUAGGCACACAGGACACAUUUGCUCCCUGGCUAAAAUGGUGAGCCUUUCUCUGCUGGCGUGCUUAGAAACAGCCAGCUGUUUGGCAACCCCCCUAGCUCAUCUACCCAGUGGGAGUUCAUCUAGAGAGUAACU